rnacentral:rRNA from 1 species
UACGAAGGGGGCUAGCGUUGCUCGGAAUCACUGGGCGUAAAGGGUGCGUAGGCGGGUCUUUUAAGUCAGGGGUGAAAUCCCGCAGCUCAACUGCGGAACUGCCUUUGAUACUGGGUAUCUUGAGUAUGGAAGAGGUUAGUGGAAUUGCGAGUGUAGAGGUGAAAUUCGUAGAUAUUCGCAGGAACACCAGUGGCGAAGGCGGCUAACUGGUCCAUAACUGACGCUGAGGUGCGAAAGCGUGGGGGAGCAAACAGG